rnacentral:lncRNA from 1 species
UCUAUAAUAUUCUACACUAUUCUAUAAUUUUCCAAAAGUUACACUUUAAUUUUAACAGAACAGUGAUAUGUUGCAGCUACAUAAAUUCUUAUAUCUGCGCUAAAACAUUGUAAGAGAAACCAGGUAUGGGUUCAAAUUGAAAUAAUUUACUCCACAUAGUUGAUAGCAUAAUAUUAUAUUAAUAAACUAGAAAUAUUUUACCAUGCACCUAUAUAGACAUGUCAGCCGGAUGUGCAUUGGCUUUUCAAAUAUGAAUCAGUUUUUUCUUGAAAAUUUUAGUUCAUGUAUUUCUUGGUGUUUCAACUAAGUAGAAAUUAAUGUAAUCUUGUUGUUUUCUUUUUGCCAGCGAGUUGAGGAAGGAGGAGGUGGUUUAUAGUAAUGCACAUGUCCAAUCUUGAGCUUUGAUCUAUCUACUGGACGUGUAAAAUCCAUUUUUUUCCUACUCUAAGGUACACCAGACAGAAAAUUUGCUUCCUAUCUAUAAAAAUAUAAGACCAUAUUAAGGUUAUUAUGUAUGAUCAUCUGAUAUCAACUUAGCAAUAUUUUUUUUCUUUGUCAGGUUUUUGGUGACACAAAAAUUGUGCUGAAAUUCUCUAUUGAAUAGGCAAUGACCUCAACUGUGAUCUGUCAUCAGAAUGUCAGUGAAGAAUCAUACGUCUCUUUUUGUGUAUAGCGCAGAUUGACACUAAGCUAUACUUUUUACACGUUUUAUGAAACUUGAUUUGCUUCGAGUAAUUCUGUCUCUACUGUGGAUUAAUCUGCAUUGAUUUGAUGGUAGUGGUUUUAAGGCUUCACUCUGUUAAGAUUUAUUUGUUGUAAACAAAAUCUUUUGCUUAAAGAUUUCCACUUGAUUUGCACCACUUCCAGGUUUAGUUUCCAACAUAUCUUAACAGAUCGCAAAUGCAAUGUUUGAUGAAUGAAAUCCAGUUUGCUAGGAGUCUCUCUGAUGAAUCAAUAAGUAUUUGUACUCUUUUCCAGUUAAACCCCAUCAUGAACAACAUGAUAUUCUUGUCUUGAUUAAGAAGAAUGAUUCAUCCUACUGCGUGAAGUUUCAUUUCCAGAAUGUCAAAAUGUUGUAGCUCUCCACUAUUAUAAAUUUGGUUGGUGUGUGUGUAUAAUCAGGGUCCAGGGACAACCAUCCAAAAAUUUUAGGAAAUAAUCAAACUUGCAUUUUGAGGAGUUGACAGCAAUAUUGCUGUUUUCGAGAAUUGGCUGAAUAUCCAAUCCCUUCUGGCCCAUUGCUUAAACUCCGUCUAGAAGUCGAAAAGGGGGAAUGGUGGAAAGUUCUUGGAGGGAAGGAUGCCGGGGAUCUAUUUAGAAACAGCAUCUCUACCUAAGGGUAGGGGUAAGGUCUGCGUACACACUACCCUCCCCAGACCGCACUAAGUGAGAUUGUACUGGGUUGUUAUUGUUGUUGUUUACUACAUUAAUUGCAAUUCUA